rnacentral:misc_RNA from 1 species
UCGAAUAAACUUGGUUUAGGUUGUUGCUGGCUCUUCGGAGCAUGUGCACGCCUAUUCCGAAUUUAUAACCACCUGUGCACUUUGUGUAGAUCUGAAUACCUCUCGAGUUUAAACUCGGUCAAAAGGAAAUGCUGUGCGGCAACGCCGGCUUUUCUUUACAUUUUCAGGUCUAUGUUCUAAUCACACCACAUUAAAGUAUCAGAAUGUAAUAGUUGGGCAUGUUUUAAAUGCCUGUAAACAAAUAUA